AUACAGGGAGAAAACAGCCAUCUACAAGCCCAGGAGAGAGGAAAUCAACCCUAAUGACACCUUGAUCUAGGACUUCUGGCCUCCAGAACUAUGGGAAACGUUCCCUGCAAGGCAAAAACGCCCCUAAGAUGUAUUCUGGAGAAUUCGGCCCAGUCAGAGUUUUGUCUCUUCCAGAAUCGAAGCUGUAAAACUACAAAUGGUUCUUCAAAUGGAGCCCCAGGUGCAGUCCAUGACUAAGA